AAGAGUUUAGAGACUUCGGUCUACUACUCCACCCUUUGUUUACAAUACCAUUGUUGCUUUGGCAGGCCCGUCGCAAGACAACCGGCUUUGGCUGGUCAGCGCCUGCCAGAGAACCUAAAACUCAUGUUUAUAUUAUUGUCUGAGUACUAUGUAAUAGUUA
rnacentral:misc_RNA from 1 species